GGAAACGGCGUCUAAUACCGGAUAUGAACCACAGCCGCAUGGUUGGUGGUUGGAAAGAUUUUUUGGUUCGGGAUGGGCUCGCGGCCUAUCAGCUUGUUGGUGAGGUAAUGGCUCACCAAGGCGUCGACGGGUAGCCGGCCUGAGAGGGUGACCGGCCACACUGGGACUGAGACACGGCCCAGACUCCUACGGGAGGCAGCAGUGGGGAAUAUUGCACAAUGGGCGGAAGCCUGAUGCAGCAACGCCGCGUGAGGGAUGACGGCCUUCGGGUUGUAAACCUCUUUUAGCAAGGAAGAAGCGAAAGUGACGGUACUUGCAGAAAAAGCGCCGGCUAACUACGUGCCAGCAGCCGCGGUAAUACGUAGGGCGCAAGCGUUAUCCGGAAUUAUUGGGCGUAAAGAGCUCGUAGGCGGUUUGUCGCGUCUGCUGUGAAAACUGGAGGCUCAACCUCCAGCCUGCAGUGGGUACGGGCAGACUAGAGUGCGGUAGGGGAGAUUGGAAUUCCUGGUGUAGCGGUGGAAUGCGCAGAUAUCAGGAGGAACACCGAUGGCGAAGGCAGAUCUCUGGGCCGUAACUGACGCUGAGGAGCGAAAGGGUGGGGAGCAAACAGGCUUAGAUACCCUGGUAGUCCACCCCGUAAA
rnacentral:rRNA from 1 species